rnacentral:rRNA from 1 species
UUCUGGUUGAUCCUGCCGGAGGUCACUGCUAUUGGGAUUCGACUAAGCCAUGCGAGUCGAGAGGGUUCGGCCCUCGGCAGACGGCUCAGUAACACGUGGAUAAUCUGCCCUUAGGUGGAGGAUAACCUCGGGAAACUGAGAAUAAUACUCCAUAGAUCUAGGAUGCUGGAAUGCACUUAGAUUAAAAGUUCCGACGCCUAAGGAUGAGUCUGCGGACUAUCAGGUAGUAGUCAGGGUAAAGGCCUGACUAGCCUACAACGGAUACGGGUUGUGAGAGCAAUAACCCGGAGACGAUAUCUGAGACACGAUAUCGGGCCCUACGGGGCGCAGCAGGCGCGAAACCUUCACAAUGUGCGAAAGCACGAUGAGGGAAUCCCAAGUGCUUGCUCGUAAGAGUAAGCUGUUUUUAUGUUUAAAAAGCAUAGAGAGUAAGGGCUGGGUAAGACGGGUGCCAGCCGCCGCGGUAA